rfam:Salmo salar isolate Sally breed double haploid chromosome ssa25, whole genome shotgun sequence.
GACCCUAUGGCUCAGUUGGUAGAGCAUGGUGUUUGCAUCGCCAGCAUGGUGUGUGCAACGCCAGGGUUGUGGGUUCGAUUCCCACGGGGGGCC